rnacentral:rRNA from 1 species
CCUACGGGUGGCUGCAGUGAGGAAUAUUGGUCAAUGGGCGCGAGCCUGAACCAGCCAAGUCGCGUGAAGGAUGACUGCCCUACGGGUUGUAAACUUCUUUUAUAAAGGAAUAAAGUGAGGCACGUGUGCCUUUUUGUAUGUACUUUAUGUAUAAGGAUAGGCUAACUCCGUGCCAGCAGCCGCGGUAAUACGGAGGAUCCGAGCGUUAUCCGGAUUGAGUGGGUUUAACGGGAGCGUAGAUGGGUUGUUAAGUCAGUUGUGAAAGUGUGCGGCUCAACCGUAAAAUUGCAAUUGAUACUGGCAGUCUUGAGUACAGUAGAGGUAGGCGGAAUUCGUGGUGUAGCGGUGAAAUGCUUAGAUAUCACGAAGAACUCCGAUUGCGAAGGCAGCCUACUAAACUGCCACUGACAUUGAUGCUCGAAAGUGUGGGUAUCAAACAGGAUUAGAUACCCGGGUAGUC